GCUGGGCACGGUGGUGCCCGCCUGUAAUCCCAGCAGCUCUGGAGGCUGAGGCAGGAGGAUCUCGAGUUCAAAGCCAGCCUCAGCAAAAGCGAGACUAAGCAAUUCAGUGAGACCCUGUCUCUA
rnacentral:sRNA from 1 species